UACGGAUGGUGCAAGCGUUAAUCGGAAUUACUGGGCGUAAAGCGCACGCAGGCGGUUUGUUAAGUCAGAUGUGAAAUCCCCGAGCUUAACUUGGGAACUGCAUUUGAAACUGGCAAGCUAGAGUCUUGUAGAGGGGGGUAGAAUUCCAGGUGUAGCGGUGAAAUGCGUAGAGAUCUGGAGGAAUACCGGUGGCGAAGGCGGCCCCCUGGACAAAGACUGACGCUCAGGUGCGAAAGCGUGGGGAGCAAACAGG
rnacentral:rRNA from 1 species